rnacentral:lncRNA from 1 species
AUGAGUCUCUCCACCAUCUCAAAUAAUCGGUCAACAUCCUCUCUAAGCGAACCCUCCCAGACUGCUUGGUUUAGUGGGAGCCUUCAUCUCCUCAUCUACCCAUACCUGCAUUUCACAAGGAAUGGUUAAGUAACAAUUCAUUAUUCUUAGUAUUUCCUAUGGUUUUGUGUAAGGAAUGAGUUUGAAGAACGCAGCUCUGAUACCAACUGUAAUGACCCCGGAAUGUCCAAAGAAAUAAAUUAUAAUUAAGUACGGAAGUGAAACAAAUGG